rnacentral:rRNA from 1 species
GUACCGUGAGGGAAAGAUGAAAAGAACUUUGAAAAGAGAGUUAAACAGUACGUGAAAUUGUUGAAAGGGAAACGAUUGAAGUCAGUCAUACCAACGGGAAAUCAACCUUUUGAGCUUGGUCUCGUGGGUUUUGAAGAGUUUCAAAGCCUUCAGAUUCGCGAGAUUGGGAUCUCUUGGUGUACUUUUUCGUACGGUUAGUCAACAUCGGUUUUGAAUGUCAUAAAAUGACUGGAGGAAUGUAGCUUCGAUCUCGUAUUGAAGUGUUAUAGCCUUUGGUAGAUGUGAUGUUUGAGACCGAGGAUUGCAACGGAUACCCUUCAGGGCUAUUCGUCUGAUCUCUGAUACGUUGCCUUGAUGUUGAAAGCUCGCUUAUGAUGUUAGGGUAUUACGGUCAAAAGGUUAGAACGAAUUACAUUCGUUAAGG